ACCUCUUUGGUCUGCAGGAGAUGACUCAGUAAGCUACUAAAUUAUUGGGGCAACUGUAUAUGUUUUAAUUAAAUCUGCAGAUAAAUGAUCAGGCAUGUAUCCGGCCUUGUUCCACUGGCACUGCUGUGGACUAAACAAUGGCCAGUGAUCUGAUGUGAAUCAUUUGAAUAGUUUUCAACCUAUUUGACUAUUCUGGGCUUUAUUUGUCAGUUAAACAAAUAAACCCAGAGCCUUUGUUUUAUUAGCCGGCUUGAACUACUGUGGCCCAGUUGAGACAGUACUACUUUCAUUGCAUCGCAUCUCAGCAGGCCUGCUUAAAAGCCUUUGGUGGACUGGGAUUUCCCUUUCCUUCUCAGAGCUGGUUUGAACAAAAGCUUCCCAUUUAAUCUGUCCUUGAGAGUCAUCUAUGGGAACGAAAAAUGCUCCUGGUUGUGCUGAUGCAGAAGGAGUGACAGCUAACCUUGGACUGAGACUGCCUAGAUGGAGGCACCUGUGCCAGUGAGGAAAGAACGUCAUCCACCAGGACAGCAGAGCAGAAGGCAUGAGAGAGAGGUGGCCUGAGGGAAGUGCUUGUGGUGGACCUGCUGAGGAGUGGGACAGGCAGAAGAAGGAAAAUUGAGGUGUCCUCAGGAGCUCCAUCAUAAAGACAUCUCUUUAUCCCAAGGCCUUGUCCUGUGACCGCAGAAAGGACAGCAGCAAAAAGGAACAGAGUGUCCAAGCUGACAUUUUGCCAAGCCUUAUUUAGCAGCUGAUCUCCUAAAUGAGCCUCCCCGCUGAUUUCCAACAGUUGAAGAAUCUGGCUUCCACAGGGAACGGCUCUCAUGAGCAGUGGUGCUGGAGACAGGCCAUGGACUGCCAUUCCGUGGCCCUAGGGGUUGGAGACCCCUGAUUUAGAUCACCCAAGCCCACAAGACCAACACAUACCAUAGGCACAAAAAGGAACGUUUAGAACUGAAUUCCCCCCUUUGAGUCUUGAAGAUACUCACUGAAGUGGAGAGAUGUGGCUGGAAGGUAGAAAAAAAGGUGAAAGAGCCAAUCGAUCAGUCCAAAAUGCAGGUCUGUUGUGUUCAAGUAUUUGAAUGAGGUUCUCACUGGGCUCGAGGAGGACAGAAAGAAGGAAAUAAGGCUGCUGCUUCCCAGUGACUUAUUACUACUUCUUUUUUUUUUUUAAUUGAGAAAAUUCACAUAACAUAAAAUUCACCAUUUGGAAGUAUACAAUUCAG
rnacentral:lncRNA from 1 species